GACGAACGCUGGCGGCGUGCUUAACACAUGCAAGUCGAACGGAAAGGCCCUGCUUUUGUGGGGUUCUCGAGUGGCGAACGGGUGAGUAACACGUGAGUAACCUGCCCUUGACUUUGGGAUAACUUCAGGAAACUGGGGCUAAUACCGGAUAGGAUCUCCUGCUGCGUGGUGGGGGUUGGAAAGAUUCGGCGGUUGUGGAUGGAUUCGAGGCUUAUCAGCUUGUUGGUGGGGUAGUGGCUUACCAAGGCUUUGACGGGUAGCCGGCAUGAGAGGGUGACCGGCCACAUUGGGACUGAGAUACGGCCCAGACUGCUACGGGAGGCAGCAGUGGGGAACAUUGCAGAAUGGGCGGAAGCCUGAUGCAGCAACGCCGCGUGCGGGAUGACGGCCUUCGGGUUGUAAACCGCUUUCGCCUGUGACGAAGCGUGAGUGACGGUAAUGGGUAAAGAAGCACCGGCUAACUACGUG
rnacentral:rRNA from 1 species